rnacentral:rRNA from 2 species
GCUGGCGGCGUGCUUAACACAUGCAAGUCGAACGAUGAAGCCCUUCGGGGUGGAUUAGUGGCGAACGGGUGAGUAACACGUGGGCAAUCUGCCCUUCACUCUGGGACAAGCCCUGGAAACGGGGUCUAAUACCGGAUAACACCGGCUUCCGCAUGGGAGCUGGUUAAAAGCUCCGGCGGUGAAGGAUGAGCCCGCGGCCUAUCAGCUUGUUGGUGGGGUAAUGGCCUACCAAGGCGACGACGGGUAGCCGGCCUGAGAGGGCGACCGGCCACACUGGGACUGAGACACGGCCCAGACUCCUACGGGAGGCAGCAGUGGGGAAUAUUGCACAAUGGGCGAAAGCCUGAUGCAGCGACGCCGCGUGAGGGAUGACGGCCUUCGGGUUGUAAACCUCUUUCAGCAGGGAAGAAGCGAAAGUGACGGUACCUGCAGAAGAAGCGCCGGCUAACUACGUGCCAGCAGCCGCGGUAAUACGUAGGGCGCAAGCGUUGUCCGGAAUUAUUGGGCGUAAAGAGCUCGUAGGCGGCUUGUCACGUCGGGUGUGAAAGCCCGGGGCUUAACCCCGGGUCUGCAUCCGAUACGGGCAGGCUAGAGUGUGGUAGGGGAGAUCGGAAUUCCUGGUGUAGCGGUGAAAUGCGCAGAUAUCAGGAGGAACACCGGUGGCGAAGGCGGAUCUCUGGGCCAUUACUGACGCUGAGGAGCGAAAGCGUGGGGAGCGAACAGGAUUAGAUACCCUGG